UGCGUAGGCGGGUCUUUAAGUCAGGGGUGAAAUCCUGGAGCUCAACUCCAGAACUGCCUUUGAUACUGAAGAUCUUGAGUUCGGGAGAGGUGAGUGGAACUGCGAGUGUAGAGGUGAAAUUCGUAGAUAUUCGCAAGAACACCAGUGGCGAAGGCGGCUCACUGGCCCGAUACUGACGCUGAGGCAAAGACUGGGGAGGCAAACA
rnacentral:rRNA from 1 species